ACUCAAAUGAAUAGACGGGGCUCCGCACAAGCAGUGGAUUAUGUGGUUUAAUCCGAUGCUACGCGUAGAACCUUACCGAGGCUUGACAUCCCUGGAAUCCCCGCGAAAGUGGGGAGUGCCUUCGGGAGCCAGGUGACAGAUGCUGCAUGGCCGUCGUCAGCUCGUGUCGUGAGAUGUUGGGUUAAGUCCCGCAACGAGCGCAACCCUUGUCGUGUGUUGUAUUUUUCACGCGAGACCGCCCGGGCCAACCGGGAGGAAGGUGGGGAUGACGUCAGGUCGGCAUGGCUCUUACGCCUCGGGCCACACACGUAAUACAAUGGCCGGUACAACGGGCUGCGAAACCGCGAGGUGGAGCUAAUCCUAUCAAAACCGGUCCCAGUUCGGAUUGCAGGCUGCAACUCGCCUGCAUGAAGUUGGAAUUGCUAGUAACCGUGGGUCAGCAUACCACGGUGAAUACGUUCCCGGAGCUUGCACACACCGCCCGU
rnacentral:rRNA from 1 species